CCGGGAGUCCAGCUGACACAGGUCUCGGCCAGGGCUCUACCUGCGCUCAGGAUUGGAAAAGCUGUGCGCAAUGAGAGGCGCGUUGGUUCUCCGCAACGGGGAGCAGAAACCGGCCUGGGUCAGCCAGUGGACUGGUUGGAAGCAGAGAACUGAAAGAAAACCAACACCCUAGUGAGGCCAAGGGGUGAGGCUGGGCGAGGGAGGGGCGGGGCUGGGGGCAGGGCGGGGCUGAGGGCGGGGCUGCCGCGUGUAGGAUAUCGCAAAUGCCGGGAUUAUAGGGUUGUGCUAACCACACCCGGUUUGAUUUGCACAGUUUAGGGAUUUAUACUUCCGGCUAGGCCAACUUUACCAACCGAGUUGUAUUUCCACCCAAUACAAUCAUGCUCUGAUGCUAUUAUGUAUCCUGAAAAUACCCCAGAGGCUUAUGUGCUAAAAUCAUGCCAGCCUUGGGCAGCUGUUGGGAGGUGGUGAAACGUUUAGAAAGAAAGAUCGCUGAGAGUGUGCCCUUGGCUGACCUUUGAAAGUCAGGCCCCUUCUCUCCCUUUUGCUUCCUUUCAUCCACCAUGAAAGUAAACAGUUUCGUCUGUCGCCACCCCACUCAAUCCCACUCCACCCCAUCCGUGAACUGCUUUGCCACAGGCCAAAGCAAGAGGGUCAAGAGAUCCUUGACUGAAAACCUCUGAAAAUAUGAUUCAGAAUGGUGGCACACACAUGUAAUCCUAGUACUUAGAAGGCUCUGGCAGGAAGAUCAAAGAGUUAACUCUACUCAUGCUAUUUGAGUUCAUUAUGUUAUCUUUUUGUUACUGCGACAAACUACCUGAGAUAAUAAACCAAACCCUUUUGAUUGUUUCUUUCUUUUUCAGACAGGGUCUCUCUAUGUAACCCUGGAUGUCCUGGAACUCACUGUUUAGACCAGGCUGGCUUCUGACUCACAGAGAUCCGCCUGCCCCUGCCUCCCAUCUCCUGGGAUUUAAAGGCAUACCCCACCACCAACCACCACGCCCAGCAACAAAUUUUUUUAAAUUUUGAUUUUGGGGAUUUGGGCUUUUAUUUUUAGACAAGGUCUAUCUAUAUAACCCCAGCUGGCCUGCAGCUCACUAUGUAGACCAGGCUGCCCUCUAAUGGCUCAGAAAUGAAGAGAAUCUGUUUUUGCAGAAGGCCUAGGUUCAGUACCCAGCACCCACAUCAUGCCUCACAACCAUUGGUAACUCUAAUUACCCAUGGUGACCUCUUCUAAACUCCAAGAGCACUUGGCAUGAAGGUGGUGCACAGACAUACAUAGAGGCAAAACUCAUAAAUACAAAGUGGAGUGUGUGGGUGGAGGUCUGUUUUGUAUGUAAAUUACUACUAGCCAGGUAAUAUACCCUUAUAAUUCCAGAGAUUUUAAAGGCUGAAGCAGAAGGAUCUCAAGUUCAAGCCAGAUUCCUUAGGGAGCAUUUGCCUCCAUAAAAUAAGUAAGUGAGUAAAUAAAUAAAUAUAAAAA
rnacentral:lncRNA from 1 species